rnacentral:SRP_RNA from 1 species
GCUGGGCGUGGUGGUACACGCCUGUAAUCCCAGCUACUCGGGAGGCUGAGGCAGAAGAAUUGCUUGAGCCCAGGAUACGGAGGUUGCAGUGAGCCAAGAUCAUGCCACUGCACUCCAGCCUGGCCAACAGAGCGAGACUCUGUCUCAA